rnacentral:rRNA from 1 species
CUGCCCAAUGAAUAAAUUAAAUGGCUGCAGUAUAAAUAACUGUACAAAGGUAGCAUAAUCAAUUGAUUUUUAAAUGAAAUCUGGAAUAAAAGAAUUAAUGAAAUAUAUACUGUCUCAUAUAUAUAAUAUAAACUUAAAUUUUUAAUAAAAAUGUUAAAAUUUAUUUAUGGGACGAUAAGACCCUAUAGAAUUUUAUAUUAAAUUAUUUUUAUAAAUAUAAAAUAUAAAAUUUAAAUUAAUAUUUAAUUGGGAGAAUUAUUAAAUUUAAAAAAUUUUAAUUUAAAAAAACUUUAAUUAAAGAAUAUAUCUUGAUCUUUAAAUUAAAAUUAAUAGAAUAAAUUACCUUAGGGAUAACAGCGUUAUAUUUUUUUAUAGAUCACAUAGAAAAAAAUGAUUGCGACCUCGAUGUUGAAUUAAGAUAAAUUUUAAAUGUAGAAAUUUAAUAAUUAAGUCUGUUCGACUUUUAAAAUCUUACAUGAUUUGAGUUCAAAUCGACGUAAGUCAGAUUG